rnacentral:rRNA from 1 species
UGAGGAAUUUUGGACACUGGGCGAAAGCCUGAUCCAGCUACAUCGCGUGGGUGAAGAAGACUGUAUUGGUUGUAAAACCCUUAACUCUUUUAGAGAUUCUGACAAAAAAAGAGAAAAAGUCCCGGCUAAUUUCGUGCCAGCAGCCGCGGUAAGACGAGAGGGGCGAGCGUUAUUCGGAAUGAUUGGGCGUAAAGCGCACGUAGACAGUUUAGAGAAUCAAAAAGAAAAAUCUCAAGACACAAUCUUGAAACUUCUUUUCUUAGACCAAUUCUGGUGUAAUACAAGAUUACUAAACUCGAGUAAGUAAAAAGAGAAUGGAAUUCCUGGCGUAGAGGUAAAAUUUGUUGAUACCAGGAGGAACACCAAAGGCGAAGGCAAUUCUCUAGUGCUUGACUGACGUUGAGGUGCGACAGCGUGGGGAUCAAAAG